rnacentral:rRNA from 1 species
AUACGGAGGAUCCGAGCGUUAUCCGGAUUUAUUGGGUUUAAAGGGAGCGUAGGCGGACGCUUAAGUCAGUUGUGAAAGUUUGCGGCUCAACCGUAAAAUUGCAGUUGAUACUGGGUGUCUUGAGUACAGUAGAGGCAGGCGGAAUUCGGGGGGUAGCGGUGAAAUGCUUAGAUAUCACGAAGAACUCCGAUUGCGAAGGCAGCCUGCUGGACUGUAACUGACGCUGAUGCUCGAAAGUGUGGGUAUCAAACAGGAUUAGAUACCCUGGUAGUCCACACAGUAAACGAUGAAUACUCGCUGUGUGCGAUAUACAGUAAGCGGCCAAGCGAAAGCGUUAAGUAUUCCACCUGGGGAGUACGCCGGCAACGGUGAAACUUAAAGGAAUUGACGGGG